AUUUACGACGAUUUCUUAUACGUGGUCUUUACGACUAUUUGUGCUUACGUGGAAUUAACGAGUAUUAUGUUUAAAUCCCUAAAAUCCGAAACCUCCAAACCCCAAACCCCAAACCCAAAACCUCAAACCCCAAACCUGAAACCCCAAACCCCAAACCUCAAACCCCGAAACCUCCAAACCCCAAACCCCAAACCCCAAACCCCAAACCUCAAACCCCAAACC
rnacentral:lncRNA from 1 species